GGAGGUACUGCUGGUGUAUAUGGUCAACAGGCCUGUAAAGAUAGUGCAUCCUCAGGCAGUGGUCUUAACUAUGGUCAGUCUGUCCCUUCAGGACCUUCAGAUCCCAGUAAGAAGAUUGUGGUCAUUCCCAACAGCAACCCUUUUCCUCC